ACCAUGCUGCUGUAAGCGUUGUCUCCCUUGGCACGUUACAUGGUGUCAGAAGUUGCUGCGCUGCCUGUCGACGCCUGAGGGGAACCGUUCCCGCGAAGAACGCGUUAUGGACCUGCUGAAGGCACCACAGCCAUUGCGGCUGACGGGCAACGGCGGCAAAGGACCAGCCGAAAACGGAAGCAUGGAAGGCAGCCCUUCUGCUGAGCAUGGCGGGUGACGACGCGCUGGACGUCUUCAACAACUUCCAGUUCGCGCUGGAUGAAGACAAGACCGACUACAGUACAGUGGUGAGAAAAUUUGAUGCCUAUUGCGCCGAAGUGAGCAAUGAAGUGCACGAGAGAUAUGUAUUCCGUUCAAGAAAGCAAGCGGAGGGAGAACCAUUUGAAAAAUUUUUUCGUGACCUGAAAAAGCAAGCAGCGCAGUGUAAUUUUGGCGUUUUGCAAGAAUCCAUGAUAAGGGACCAGAUCGUAUUUGGCACGCAGGAUCCUAGAAUACGGGAGAAAAUGCUUCGUGACAGCCAACUGACUUUGCAAAAAGCAGAGCAAAUGUGUAAAGCAGCGGAGACUGCAGCACAGCGAAACGAAGUAUGGCGUAGCGGGGAAGACAGGGUCGAUGCCGUAUCGAGGCGCACGGCGCCACCCUCAAAAGAGCGGAAGCGAGGAAAAGAACAAUUUCACUGUCGUAAGUGCAACCGCUGGCAUAAACCGAAGCAAUGCCCAGCGUUUGGCAAGAGGUGUCGUUUGUGCCACAAGCUGAACCACUUUGCAAGUAGUUGCGCGUCAGCGGUAGUCAGCCAAGUCCAAAAACAGCAAGACGAGGACUUCGACAUUCUCGAAAUCACGACAUCUAGUCACGAAAGGGAUUGGACGGUUAAAGCCCAAGUUCGCAAUCGCGAGAUAAGCAUUAAAGUGGAUACGGGGUCGCAAGCAAGCCUGUUUCCCAUGUCAAUUUACGGCCAACUGAGGGGAGCUGAAGAGUUGAAGCCAACGAAUUCGGUGCUGAGGGCGUAUAACGGCGGUACCAUAGCGUGCUAUGGAACGUCUACGCCGGAAGUAAGGCUUCGUAAUACUUCUGCUACGGUCACAUUUUUUGUUGUGAAAAAUGGCCGUCAGGCCAUACUCGGGCUAGAAGCUAGUGAGGCUUUGGGGCUGGUCCAGCGUAAAGUAGGCGCCGUAGACAAGAUUUCCUACGACGGACUUCUCAAGAAAUUCAGGCACGUUUUCGAGGGCCUAGGUUGUUUGCAGCAGGCAUACAGCAUGGUCCUGCAACCUGAAGCGGUGCCAGUCGUGCAACCAGCUCGACGAGUUCCUUUGGCACUGGAAGAGCCUCUAAAGAAGGAACUUCAAAGAAUGGAGUGUGCGGGCAUAAUUGUCAAAGUGAACGAGCCUACCGACUGGGCCAGUCCUUUAGUUCUGGCAAAAAAGAAAGAUGGCACACUACGCGUGUGCAUGGACCCCAGAGCUGUGAACAAGUACAUAAAGCGGCAGCAUUUCCCGCUUCCUAGGCGCGAAGAUUUGGAAGCCCGUUUAACCAAUGCCGCGUACUUCAGCUGUCUUGACGCGAACUCCGGCUAUCAUCAGAUACCGCUUGACGAGCGCACAUCUAAAAUCUGCACUUUUUCUUUACCGUUUGGGAGAUACCGUUUUCUGCGUCUGCCCUUCGGCAUUUCGUCCGCACCGGAGGUAUUUCAACAAACCAUGAGUCAAGUAUUCGAGGGCCUACCUGGGGUGCUGGUAUACAUUGACGACAUUUUAGUUUGGGGUUCCAGUAAAAAAGAACACGAUGAACGGUUGGCGGAAGUGCUUAAGGCUGCCGAGAAAGCAGGAUUGACUUUCAACGCGCAGAAAUGCAAGUUCGGUGUGGAAUCGGGCAAAUUCCUUGGUCACGUCAUAAGCCGAACGGGCAUAUCGCCUGACCCAAAGCUUAUCGAAAGCCUGGCGAACAUGCCGACACCAACGUCCAAGACUGACGUCCAGCGGAUGCUGGGAGUGCUGAACUAUUUCAGCAAAUUCGUGCCACGGUUGUCCGAGCGAACGACGCUUUUACGAGAGCUUAUCAAGUCCCGCGCAGAGUUCCAAUGGACAGAAAACCACGCGAAAGGGUGGCAAAUCUUGACGCAAGUUUUGACUACCGCCCCCCUGCUUGCAAUCUUUGAUCCGCAACGAGAAACUAAGAUAACGUGCGACGCAUCAAAGGAAGGUGUUGGUGCAGCAUUAUUGCAAGGCUACAAUGGUGAAUGGCGACCGGUAGCCUAUGCAUCUCGUGUAUUAACCCGAGCCGAGCAAAGCUAUGCACAAAUUGAAAAGGAGGCACUCGGAAUUUGUUUUGGCUGUGAAAGGUUUCACGAGUUUGUGUACGGAAGAAAAGUGCUUAUCGAAACAGACCAUAAGCCGCUUAUAGCGAUCGCGCAAAAGGAAAUCGCCGACAUGCCACCGCGAGUGCAAAGAUUCUUUUUGCGGCUACUAAAAUACAACUUUGUCUUGCGGUACAUUCCCGGGAAACAGCUGGUUCUCGCUGACAUGUUGUCACGCUCAACGGCUGACCAGGGCAAAGAUCAAGUUGGCACCACUUCUGGUACCACUGACGACGUGGAGAUCCAUGCGGUGCAGUCCUUGGGCUACAUGGUCACUUCCGAAACGCAGCGGCUACUGCAGCAAGAAACGUCUCGUGACGUAUACUUACAGGCCGUGAGGAAGAGCUUAACAAGCGGACAGCCGGUGACCGGGGAACUCAAGCCUUUUGCGAAAGAGCUGUCGGUCGUUAAUGGAAUAGUGUUGAAGGGCUCGAAAGUUGUAAUACCGAGGAGUAUGAGACAAAGCAUCCUGAACAGGAUACAUGCUGGCCACCUCGGGUUGCAAAAGUGCAAAGAGAGGGCCCGAACUCUCGUAUUUUGGCCCGGUCUGAACGGCGAAAUAGCUGCCCUAGUAGAAAGCUGCGCAACCUGCCGAAAGUACGCGUACAGGCAACCGCAUGAACCACUUUUAAUGCGGCCAGUUCCAAAAUGUGCUUGGUAUAGGGUCGGCGUAGAUAUCUUUUCUUAUGCUGGAGAUUCGUACGUGGUUGCUUACGACGCCUUUUCAAAUUUCCCUGAGGUUGAGAAACUUGACGAUACAACUGCAGCAACUACGAUCGCAGCCAUGUUCGCCAGGUACGGCGUACCUGUAGAAGUUUGCACGGAUAACGGACCCCAGUUUUCAAGCCAUGAAUUUGCCAGAUUUGCCAAAACAUACGAUUUCAAGCAUGUAACCUCCAGCCCCCGUUAUCCGCAGUCGAACGGCUUGGCUGAGAAAGGUGUCCAAAUCGUAAAGCGCAUCCUGAAAAAGACUCGAGAGGCGAGGGAGGACUUCUGGCUGGGUUUGCUAGCCUAUCGCUCAACACCACUGGAAGAUGGGCAUUCUCCGGGUGAGCUUCUGCAAAGAAGGCGACUUCGUUCUAACCUUCCUGACUUCGGUAGGGUGUCCCGGACCGCUGUGAGGAAGCACCACCAAGCCAAGGACGGGAAGCCUUUGCCAAUACUGCGCAGAGGCACGAAGGUGAGGCUUCAGGAUGCGACUGCGUGGUCCCCAAAAGCGAAGGUCGUUGGUGAAACUGCUCCACGUUCCUAUUUGGUACGAACGCAAGAUCGACGUGUUCUGCGGCGCAACCGCCGACAUCUACUUAGGACGGGUGAACCGUAUAGCAGUGAAAGUGAUGACGACUGCGAGGAGGUUCCACCAUGCGAAACUUCUGGUGCGCCGGCGCCUGCAGCACCAGCUGAACCAACAGCGCUAGCCACCGAGACGUCAUCUCUACAAACAGCCGUAGGAUCAAGGCUAACAGCAAGUGACGGCGAUCCUUCGCCUGGCAUCCAACCGACGCAUGCUACUAGAAGGUCGACUCGUGUCGUCCGGCCUCCCCAGAAGCUUCAUUAUGAUGAACAUUUCCAGCAAGUGUCAUAAGUUUUGGCAAAUGUGUAUAUGUAUUUAAAUCUGUUUUGUUUGUUGCCCGAGGGAGGAUGUAUCGGACGUGUGCACUGAUUAUAUCAGCGCGGAUGCGCAUCUGUGAUGCGCAGUUGUACAGCGCGCUGCAUUCAUGUCUUUAUAAGCCAUGCUCUGAAUAAACCUUCGUUCUUUCCUGCACUGAC